rnacentral:rRNA from 1 species
UACGUAGGGGGCUAGCGUUGUCCGGAAUCAUUGGGCGUAAAGAGCGCGUAGGCGGCCAGAUAAGUCCGGUGUGAAAGUCACAGGCUCAACCUGUGAAUGCCGCUGGAAACUGUCUGGCUAGAGUCCGGGAGGGGCGAGUGGAAUUCCUGGUGUAGCAGUGAAAUGCGUAGAUAUCAGGAGGAACACCGAUGGCGAAGGCAGGUCUCUGGGCUGACACUGACGCUCAUGCACGAAAGCGUGGGGAGCAAACAGG